CACUGAAUCACCUAGAAAUCUUGUUAAAAUACAGAUUCUGAUUCAGCAAGUCUGGAAUGGAGCCUGAGAUUCUGCAUUUCUAACAAGCUCCCAGAUGUUGCCAAU
rnacentral:pre_miRNA from 1 species